ensembl:lncRNA
GGCCCCCAGCUCCCAGGAACGCCCCCGGACGGCGUCAGCCACCCGGGACCUGCGGCGUCGCCGGCGGGUUGCCUCCGCCCUCGGACCAGCCCGCGCGAGCCGGGCUCCCCCGGCGCCCUCCCGCAUCCGCCGCUCCCGGCCCCGCCUGGCCGCAGGGCCCGGGUAGGAAGGACGGGACCGGCCCGGUGGAGACCUGGCCCCACUGCCAGAGGGUCCCUGGAGAUGCCAUUCUGAGCUGAGAAGCGGCUGCUCUGGCCGAGGCCGUUUGCGUGGCAGCGCUUGCAGCAGACCACCCACCGUGAUCAUCUGGCUUUGUUCUUACAGAAGCCAGGUUGAAGCUACCCCAUACCCAAGUAACCCCAUCCAAUGGGAAAUUCCAAAUCAAGGCCUCCAAAGAGCGCGAUUCCCAAAAGCCAGUCAAACCACAGUGGAAGCCUCCGCGGUGUUCUACAUCCUGUGCACUGAGUGGAGUUUUGUGAAAUUGCCUUAGGUUGCUAAGGGCAAAACUGUGCCCAGACAAAAAUAAGCAAACCGAAUUUCUCUUGUGUUCCCUUACCCUUUUUCAUGACUGCUCUCAUUCCGCUCUCCUCUCCGCUAGCCCGGGUGUCUGGGACGCUUGUGUGGUUUCUAGGCUCUCCCAAAAUAGUCCCCUAUCCAGCCCUUCCCUCCCUGAGAAUUGCCCCAGUCCAUUUGUCCUUCUCCCCACCCCUAGCUCUAUUAAAAAUGACCUCAUUUGUGUCUCAUUCUGAUCAGGCCUUGGGCUCUUCUUUACAAAGUGGCAAUCCUAGUCUGUCAACUGGCCCGUGUUCAUGGGUUUAUACCCUCUCCCCAGCCAGGUCACCCCUGAACUUAAACAUGGCCUCAUGAAAACCAGGUCCCCAUGAUCACUCUAAGGUAACCUAUAAAGCUCUAGCCCAGGAAGGCAGGAAGAUGACUGCUAGGAGACAUAUUUCAGGAGUGACAGGUCAGAGGUAGCCCUCGACUUUUUAAAAAAGUGCCAUGUUCUCUAUUGUUACACUCUAUGAUUACUGCACUGAGGGCCCAUCCUGACUCCUCUGGAAUUCCCUGCAAAUAUGGAGUUCGGGUAUAGCUUCAGCAGGGAUAAAAAUUCGAUGGUACAUAACUGACAAUUUAUCAAAUUAAGAAAUAGAACAUGCAAGUUUUUCUUAUGAGAAUUUUGUAGCGUAAAUGGUCAUGUGCUAAUUCAGACCUCCCCUUCUCUGCUGCUAUGAAGUCUCCAACAGCAAAAGCCAGGAAUGGUCAUAAAACUGACCAUGUUUUUUGAUUCAGGAAAUCUUUUGUUGAACAUUAACAUACAAAGACGAAGAGUAAACAAAGCUGCCUGUUUGAGUAUAAACACAUAUGCAGACAAAGAAACAAAUAAAUGGGUUAGAGAACAACAAAAAAAUUAUCUCCAUGGAGGUAAAGGGAGGAUUGUUGCAUUAAUUGUAACUCAAAUCUCUUAACAUUUGAGGAAUGAUUAGGCAAACUAGGGUGUCUUUACUGGGUGUAUUUAAUGGUGUACAAUAGUAUAUGUUACUUAGAUAUUAAAUGAAAUGUGUAUACUAUGUAGAUUUAUGAGACGUUUAUAGUAAAUAAGGUUCUGUGAAAAUGAUAUGACUCAAAAUGUUAAAUAGGAUAAGUAAUAUAAAUGUGUUACAACGCCCUGGAGCACAGGCUGAUCCCUGGAGACCAGUACUGAGUCAUCUGGUCUGCUCAAGAGUCAAUUAAGGAAAAA